GACGAACCGUCCUAACGUUAUUCGGAAUUACUGGGCUUAAAGCGCGUGUAGGCGGGACGACACGUCCGUCGCUGAAAUCCCCCGGCUCAACCGGGGAACGGGCGCGGAUACGAUCGUCCUGGAGGGGUGUAGGGGGACCUGGAACUUCCGGUGGAGCGGUGAAAUGCGUUGAGAUCGGAAGGAACGCCCGUGGCGAAAGCGAGGUCCUGGACACUUUCUGACGCUGAGACGCGAAAGCCAGGGGAGCAAACGGG
rnacentral:rRNA from 1 species